rnacentral:rRNA from 1 species
CCCUUCGAUGUUCUGGGCCGCACGCGUGUUACACUGAUAAAUUCAACGAGUCUAGAACCUGUUCUGAGAAGAAUGGGGAAUCUUGUGAAAUUUUAUCGUGAUAGGGAUAGAUGAUUGCAAUUAUUCAUCUUAAACGAGGAAUGCCUAGUAAGGGCAGUUCAUCAAACUGUCCUGAUUACGUCCCUGCCCUUUGUACACACCGCCCGUCGCUCCUACCGAUUGGGUGAGCCGAUGAAACUCUCGGAUGUAGGCUAUUCAUAGCCCGCAGAAGAGAUUUGAAUCGUAGCGCUUAGAGGAAGGAGAAGUCGUAACA